GUUCUGAAAUUCGUAUAAAGGGUAAUGAUUAUUCAUCAGGUGUACGACAAUUUGAGGGAUAUUUCUAUGUGCCAAGUGGUUCAUCUGGUGUGUCAAUAAUGCAAGUAUUUGGAGCCUCACCAUCAUCCACAACUUUAAUGUUGAGAGUUUAUGAUGGAACACUCUAUUACUAUAGAGAAAAAGUGAUUGAAUCAAAUAUUUAUAAUAGAUGGAUUAGAUUAAAUGUGAUUCAUG
rnacentral:misc_RNA from 1 species